UACGUAGGGUGCAGGCGUUAAUCGGAAUUACUGGGCGUAAAGCGUGCGCAGGCGGUCUUUUAAGCCAGAUGUGAAAUCCCCGGGCUUAACCUGGGAACUGCGUUUGAAACUGGAAGGCUAGAGUGUGGCAGAGGGGGGUGGAAUUCCACGUGUAGCAGUGAAAUGCGUAGAGAUGUGGAGGAACACCGAUGGCGAAGGCAGCCCCCUGGGCUAACACUGACGCUCAUGCACGAAAGCGUGGGGAGCAAACAGG
rnacentral:rRNA from 1 species